rnacentral:lncRNA from 1 species
AGACUUCACCUUUAACUUUAGUUGCAGGAAGACUCCGCCCGGACUCCUACGGGAGCCGGGCUUCGUCCUCAACUCCAACAGCUGCAGACAGACUUCGUCCGGACUCCUACGGAAGUCAGACUCCGCCAACAACAUCAACCGCAAGCGGACUCCGCCCGGACUCCUACGGGAGCCAGGCUCCGUCCUCAACUCCAACCACUGGU